AUUGAACGCUGGCGGCAGGCUUAACACAUGCAAGUCGAGCGAGCGGCGGACGGGUGGGCAAUGGCUGGACAACUGCCUGAUGGAGCGGGAUAACGAGGGGAAAACGUAGCUACUACUGCAUACCAUCAGUUGUGCCCAGAUGGGAUUAGCUAGUGGGUGGGGUAAUGGCUCACCUAGGCGUCGAUCCCUAGCUGGUCUGAGAGGGUGACCAGCCACACUGGUACUGAGACACGGUCCAGACUCCUACGGGAGGCAGCAGUUGGGAAUAUUGCACAAUGGGCGCAAGCCUGAUACAGCCACGCCGCGUGUGUGAAGAAGGCUUUCGGGUUGUAAAGCACUUUCGGUGAAGAGGCGUUACUCGCAGAAGAAGCACCGGCUAACUCCGUGCCAGCAGCCGCGGUAAUAC
rnacentral:rRNA from 1 species